UCCUUAUUCCUUUCCUUGGAAAAGUGGCACCCAUUUCUGGGGGUAUUUUUUAAUUCUGUCAAAAAAUGCAUCUGAGGUUGUAAUAUUCUAUCUCAUAACCAUCCCUGGUUGACCCUUUGCAUUUCCUUUUGCCACAGCUUGAGAAGAUAGUGAAGAACCACAUAAGGAGAUUUUGUAUUUCUGGAAUCUUCCCCCCACUCCAACCCAUUGUUAAGAAGAUUUUUCUUUCUAACUGAGGGCCUCAUCCUAAGCUAUUCAAAUGUUUCACUUCUAUACUUCCAAAAUGACUGAACCUCUGCAUUUACAUCUAUUCAUAAAGCCACAAAUCUAAUCUGUUGGAACCUUUAGGGCAGGAAUCUUCCCCUGUAGUCCAUGGCUCCCCAAUCAUGGAUUUCAGGAGGGUUCGUGAACUUGGAUUGGAAAAAAAAUCUUUAUUUUCAGUAGCUGUUAACAGAAAUUAAAGAAAAUUAAACUUCCUUUAGUAUUGUCAUCAUCAUCAUCAUUCUGAGAAGACUGCGGAAUGGAUCCAAGACAUUAAAAAUGUUCUUAAUUCUGAUCUACUGGUUCCAACUUAAAAAAAAAUGAAUCAGCAAGAUGAAAAAACAAUGUAUGAUAAAAUAUCUAGCAGGCAGAUGCCUUCCCACAGUUUCUUCUAGACCCAAGGUGUGCCAUAAAGGACAUACUCUGAACCAGGUAUUCCAGUAAGGGUAAGAGUUCAACUGAUUUGUCUCCCAAUAGCUGUUCCUAUUAGAAGCAGAGUGUAGUAAAUACAAUCCAGCUUCCUUCUGAUAUUUAACUCAGAAGGCUAGUCAUUAGGUAAAAAACUCUGCACUUUAUAUAUUCCCAGAGAGAACAAUAAGGGAUCUUAAAGGUCAGCCAUUCCGACUUUCUCAUUUGAAAGCUAAGAUCAUGAAAACCCAGAGAGAUGAGCUUGCCCAAAGUCAUGCAGGUAAGUGGAAGAGAUGGGGUUCAAACCAAUGCAGAAUUGGCAAGAACACCGGCUCUGGGAAGAAUUGGGUUUAAUCCUGCCUCUGCAGGACAAAUCAUUUAAUCUCCCUAGAUUUUGGUUUCCUUAUUUGCAUAAUGAGGACAUGUAAGAUGACAUCCAAGAUGCCAUUCAGUUCCAGAUUAUUACUCUCCUAUAGUAUCCCCCAUAAGUGGUCACCCUACCCUGAUUUAAAGAUCUCCAGUGAAGGGGAAUGUGUCACUCUCCAAGAGCCCAUUCCACUUUAGGGCAGCUCUGAUUACUAGGAAGUUUUUUCACCCUGACAUCAGGUUUAAAUUUACCAUUUGCAACUUCCACCAAUUGUUCCUUAUGGUCUCUGGGGCCAAACAGGACAAUAUUAAUCUUUUUUACACAAGAUAAACCCUUCAAACACUUCAAGACAAUUAUCAUUGCUCUCCUUGAGUUUUCUCUCCUUUGUACUAAAUAAUCCUAAUUCUUUCAACAGAUUUUAUGAUGUGGAUUCAAGACCCUUCUUGAACUAUCCUUGUUGACCUCCUCCAGUCAUUCUUCAGAUGCAGUUUCCAAGCUAGACUGGGAGCACAAAUCAUGGUGAUCCAGGAGUUCCAGGAAUCCAAGCCAGGUCCUGCAGCCCUCAUAGCACUGAGCCCUCAAAGAGCACAGCACAUAUAUAUGGAGUUGCCCUUCGGAUUCUAGCCUACUAGCCUGGGACAAUGCAGCCUCAAGCUCAUGCUUAAUUGUAAACCUAAAUUCUUAUCCCCAGACCCAGGUGGUCCAGAAAAAAUUAUGCCUGACAUGUUGGGAGAAAUGUUUGUAAUUUGUUCAUUCUAUGUCUUUGAAAUAAAAGUUAAUUGGAUAAAGGGAA